GUCUGCGUGGAGCCGACCUUGAAAUACCACCCUUUAAUGUUUGAUGUUCUAACGUGGACCCGUUACCCGGGUUGCGGACAGUGUCUGGUGGGUAGUUUGACUGGGGCGGUCUCCUCCUAAAGAGUAACGGAGGAGCACGAAGGUUGGCUAAUCCUGGUCGGACAUCAGGAGGUUAGUGCAAUGGCAUAAGCCAGCUUGACUGCGAGCGUGACGGCGCGAGCAGGUGCGAAAGCAGGUCAUAGUGAUCCGGUGGUUCUGAAUGGAAGGGCCAUCGCUCAACGGAUAAAAGGUACUCCGGGGAUAACAGGCUGAUACCGCCCAAGAGUUCAUAUCGACGGCGGUGUUUGGCACCUCGAUGUCGGCUCAUCACAUCCUGGGGCUGAAGUAGGUCCCAAGGGUAUGGCUGUUCGCCAUUUAAAGUGGUACGCGAGCUGGGUUUAGAACGUCGUGAGACAGUUCGGUCCCUAUCUGCCGUGGGCGCUGGAGAACUGAGGGGGGCUGCUCCUAGUACGAGAGGACCGGAGUGGACGCAUCACUGGUGUUCGGGUUGUCAUGCCAAUGGCACUGCCCGGUAGCUAAAUGCGGAAGAGAUAAGUGCUGAAAGCAUCUAAGCACGAAACUUGCCCCGAGAUGAGUUCUCCCUGAGACUUUAGGUCUC
rnacentral:rRNA from 1 species